AACAGGCGGUUGUGGACAGCUUUUUCGUGAACUUUCGCCGGCUCGUUCUCCCUCCUCCGGCCACCGUUUCAGGCGAGUUAGUGACCGAUCCGUGAAUUUUUCUUAUUGGGGGCAAGAUGUAGACCAAAUCUACAAAAUCUACCACACGUUUCAUACAUCAUUCAAAUACUCAACAAGUAACAAAUAAGGGUGCUAGAUACUUAUAAAUCUGCAAUCCACAGAGUCACCAAACCUUCCACAGCUGCCGAGAAUACCCAGUCCACGCCACUUUGUCUCUCUAACCUGCCUUGCUCAACAGAGCAUCAAUGGAACUUCAUGGGCAGUAAAAAAAGUUGAGUAGGGCCAAUAGUCGUCACUAUCCCCUCAAGUGGAUCUGUCACUGGAUGUGUGGUGUAUGUUUUAUAUCAACCAUUUUAGGUGAGCUACAUCAGCCAUAGAGUUCUAAUCCUACUUCAAUAAAAUCUAGAGUGUUUUCUCAA